rnacentral:miRNA from 1 species
AGGUAGGAGGAUUGCUUGAGCCUGGGAGAUGGAGGUUGCAGUGAGCCAAGAUCAUGCCACUACACUCCAAUCUGGGCAACAGAGCCAGACCUUGUCUC